GGAAAUCUCACCAGGCCCGGACACUGGAAGGAUUGACAGAUUGAUAGCUCUUUCUUGUUAGCAAUAACAGGUCUGUGAUGCCCGUUCUUAGUUGGUUGAGUGAUUUGUCUUGUUAAUUCCGAUAAUGAACUAGACUCUGUCCUGCUAAAAAGUGUCUGCUUCUCUUUUGAGCAGACAAUUCUUCUUAGAGGGACUGGCGACUCUUAGUCACACAAGAUUGAACAAUAA
rnacentral:rRNA from 1 species